rnacentral:rRNA from 1 species
AGGAAUAUUGGUCAAUGGACGAGAGUCUGAACCAGCCAAGUAGCGUGAAGGAUGAAGGUUCUAUGGAUUGUAAACUUCUUUUAUACGGGAAUAAACGGAUCCACGUGUGGAUUUUUGCAUGUACCGUAUGAAUAAGGAUCGGCUAACUCCGUGCCAGCAGCCGCGGUAAUACGGAGGAUCCGAGCGUUAUCCGGAUUUAUUGGGUUUAAAGGGAGCGUAGAUGGGUUGUUAAGUCAGUUGUGAAAGUUUGCGGCUCAACCGUAAAAUUGCAAUUGAUACUGGCAGUCUUGAGUACAGUUGAGGUAGGCGGAAUUCGUGGUGUAGCGGUGAAAUGCUUAGAUAUCACGAAGAACUCCGAUUGCGAAGGCAGCCUGCUAAGCUGCAACUGACAUUGAGGCUCGAAAGUGUGGGUAUCAAACAGGAUUAGAUACCCUGGUAGUCCACACGGUAAACGAUGAAUACUCGCUGUUUGCGAUAUACUGCAAGCGGCCAAGCGAAAGCGUUAAGUAUUCCACCUGGGGAGUACGCCGGCAACGGUGAAACUCAAAGGAAUUGACGGGGGCCCGCACAAGCGGAGGAACAUGUGGUUUAAUUCGAUGAUACGCGAGGAACCUUACCCGGGCUUAAAUUGCAGAUGAAUUACGGUGAAAGCCGUAAGCCGCAAGGCAUCUGUGAAGGUGCUGCAUGGUUGUCGUCAGCUCGUGCCGUGAGGUGUCGGCUUAAGUGCCAUAACGAGCGCAACCCUUGUUGUCAGUUACUAACAGGUUCCGCUGAGGACUCUGACAAGACUGCCAUCGUAAGAUGUGAGGAAGGUGGGGAUGACGUCAAAUCAGCACGGCCCUUACGUCCGGGGCUACACACGUGUUACAAUGGGGGGUACAGAGGGCCGCUACCACGCGAGUGGAUGCCAAUCCCCAAAACCUCUCUCAGUUCGGACUGGAGUCUGCAACCCGACUCCACGAAGCUGGAUUCGCUAGUAAUCGCGCAUCAGCCACGGCGCGGUGAAUACGUUCCCG